rnacentral:rRNA from 1 species
CCUACGGGAGGCAGCAGUGGGGAAUAUUGGGCAAUGGGCGCAAGCCUGACCCAGCAACGCCGCGUGAAGGAAGAAGGCUUUCGGGUUGUAAACUUCUUUUCUCAGGGACGAAGAAAGUGACGGUACCUGCGGCAUAAGCCACGGCUAACUACGUGCCAGCAGCCGCGGUAAUACGUAGGUGGCAAGCGUUAUCCGCAUUUAUUGGGUGUAAAGGGCGUGUAGGCGGGAGCGCAAGUCAGAUGUGAAAACUCAGGGCUCAACCCUGGGCCUGCAGUUGAAACUGUGUUUCUUGAGUGCUGGAGAGGCAAGCGGAAUUCCGGGUGUAGCGGUGAAAUGCGGAGAUAUACGGAGGAACACCAGUGGCGAAGGCGGAUGGCUGGACAGUAACUGACGCUGAGGCGCGAAAGCGUGGGGAGCAAACAGGAUUAGAUACCCUGGUAGUC